ensembl:lncRNA
AUGGAAAAUAGAAAGGGAGAGAAUUUCUUUUCUGUUUUGUGGGCGGUCAGCAUGAAAUCGUACGUUCCGCCCAGGCCGGGCCUUGCGUUUUACAUUCUAGUUUGCAUCCCCGUUCCAGACAAUUUCAGGGCUUUUGAAUCAUGCCUCAGCCUUCCUGGCUGGUCUCGCCGCCAAAACCUGAAAACAGGUGCUGGGAACAAGGCUGAGAGGCGCACAGGUCCUGCCCCGGCCCCGCCCGCUGCGGGUUCUAAAGCGCAAGGUCUCUCCGCCUCGCGCCUCGCCCAGGCCCCGCCCACCUCCUCGCGGGUCCCGCCCAGGCCUGGCUUCUGUCCUGCGCGCGCAGAUUCGCGUAGACCAGGAAACGGAUCUCGUGGAGUGACGGUCCCACCACGGCGCGAUUGACUUCUGAAGACUCUUGGUCCAUGAGGAAGAAACCCGGAAGAGGAAGAGGAAAGCAGAGGAGUCAGGGAUGGCUCCUCCUCAGGUGAGAUGAUAUUCUCGGUGGAUUGUUCUGUCUCCUUCCUUUCAGAAACGCUGGGCCUUGGAGUUGGGAAUCUUCUCUGAGUCUGAAGCGUCCUGCCUGACAGGUUUGCUCACACUCACCCGUGCCUUCCCUCAGUCCCUCUCAUCUCGCUUAGAUUCCAUCUCUCGUGACCCAGUGACAUGAACUUGGGAAGAGGCUGCACUGGGCAUGGGCCUGGGAAGGGCUCACACCAGACAUGGAUGGAGACGGGGUGAGGGUCCCGUGGUGUCAGUGCUGUUGGGCAGCCUGGAUUGUUCAGGGGCCACAUCUGGAUGCACUGUCAGGUCUCUGUGGACCAGGAUCAGAGCAACUGCCAGUGGAAGUCACCUUCCAACUGCCAAUGGAAGUGCACAAAGUACAUGGUAAAUUCUAGAAAAGGAGCCCAGUAUGAGGAAAUGUUUUCUGCCUGAUUUUAUACAUUUUAUGUAAUUGAGUGAGUUACUGUGUUUCUGACUCCAAAAAUUUUACUAAUUAGCAUAGAAAGUUUAUACGCAGGCAUGAAUGAUAGAAGACGUUUUAUUCCAUCAUUAUUUUAAGAAUAUGAAAUUGGCCAGGCGUGGUGGCUCACGCAGGUAAUCCCAGUACUUUGGGAGGCCGAGGUGGGUGGAUCACGAGGUCAAGAGUUCAAGACCAGCCUGGCCAAGACGGUGAAACCCUAUCUCUCCUAAAACUACAAAAAUUAGCCAGGCACAGUAGCAUGUGCCUGUAAUCCCAACUACUUGGGAGGCUAAGGGAGAAGAAGCACUUAAACCCGGGAGAUGCAGGUUGCAGUAAGCUGAGAUCAUGCCACUGCGCUCCAGCCUGGGUAACAGAGCGAGACUCUGUCUCAAAAAAAAAAAAAAAUUAGCCAGGCGUGGUGGCGUGCCAUCUGUAACCCCAGCUACGCAGGAGGCUGAGGCAGGAGAAUCACUUGAACCUGGGAGGCAGAAGUUGCAGUGAGCUGAGAUUGCACCACUGCACUCCACCCUGGGUGUCAGAGCAAGACUCCGUCUUAAAAAAAAUAAAUUUAUAUUUAUGUUUUUACUUUAGGUUUGGGGCACAUGUGAAGGUUUGUUACACAGGUAAACUAGUGCCAUCGGGGUCUGUUGUACAGAUUAUUUCAUCGCUCUGGUAUUAAGCCCUGUACCCAAUAGUUAUGUUUUAUUUAUUUAUUUUUUCGAGACUAAGUUUUGCUCUUGUUGCCCAGGCUAGAGUAUAUUGGCAUGAUCUCAGCUCACUGCAAUAAUACUGCCAAAGUAUCAUUUUCCAGCAAGAUGAGAUUCCUCUUCAGGUCAACAAAACUUGCCACUUUUGAUAUUUUUAGAAACUUCAUAUAUGUAAACACCCACACACACAAUAUACACACACACAUAUACAUAUACAUACAUAUGCACACACACAAAUGUAUAUAUUUUGAACAACUUUUACAGUUUGAAAAUCUGGGGAAAAUGACA